rnacentral:rRNA from 1 species
UACGGAGGGUGCGAGCGUUGUCCGGAAUUAUUGGGCGUAAAGCGCGCGCAGGCGGUUUCUUAAGUCUGAUGUGAAAGCCCACGGCUCAACCGUGGAGGGUCAUUGGAAACUGGGGAACUUGAGUGCAGAAGAGAAAAGCGGAAUUCCACGUGUAGCGGUGAAAUGCGUAGAUAUCGUCAGGAACGCCGGUGGUGAAGACGGGUGACUGGGCUAGUUCUGACACUGAGGCACGAAAGCGUGGGGAGCGAACGGG